AAUAAAUUCUACUUAUGAAUAAAUCAAAUGUCUACGGCCAUACCUAGGCGAAAACACCAGUUCCCGUCCGAUCACUGCAGUUAAGCGUCUGAGGGCCUCGUUAGUACUAUGGUUGGAGACAACAUGGGAAUCCGGGGUGCUGUAGGCUUCCUUUUAUUCUUUUUUUCUAUUUUUUAUUAAUUUCAUUUUC